rnacentral:lncRNA from 1 species
AUAUGAUUACCAUAUAUUAUACUUUACAUAUGUGAAGUUUCUACCAAUUUGAUAGAUGGCGGUGUUAUGUUUUAAAUUUGAAGCAUGAUAAACCGAUAUGAUUAUCAAAUAUUACUUUACAUAUGUGAACUUCCUGCUAAUCUAUGAUGAUUCUGGGAAGUAACACGUGGGCAGAAACACUGCCCCACUUGUGAAAGAAAGCUUGUACUCUUCCCACCCAUUGCGCAAGUCUGACAUGCGAGGAGGGCAAAAGAAAAGAGUCCAUUUGCAGCGGACAACCAAAAGGAAAGCGUAAUAAUAGAUGCAAUGAAGAGAGGCCUAACAUUGAGAUGCACUUGUAGAGCAUGUUAU